rnacentral:lncRNA from 1 species
AAAAGUAAAAGUCAACCUGGUCUGAGUCUGAGGCAAUCGAAGAAGGAUUCAUCCACAGAGGAGAUAGUAUCAUGGACUUCCACCAACAACAGCUUCGUCGUCUCCUUUUUCAAGCAGCUCAAUACCUAUUUUGUGGCUUUUGCCACAGAAUCACUCAUUCAUAUAUAUAAGAUUCUACAUUAUGUUUAGAUUGCUUUUAUUUAAC